rnacentral:tRNA from 1 species
CGGGGUGUAGUAUAGUGGUAGUACGUGUGCUUUGGGAGCAUAUAGUCGCGGUUCGAUUCCGCGCACCCCGACCA